rnacentral:tRNA from 1 species
GGGGGUGUAGCUCAUCUGGUAGAGCGUUGCAAUGGCAUUGCAAAGGUAAGGGGUUCGAGUCCCCUCACCUCCACCA